AAGUCGUAACAAGGUUUCCGUAGGUGAACCUGCGGAAGGAUCAUUAUUGAAGAUAGUUGCUGUGGUUUUGUUCAUCGCCGGACACAACAACGGGCCUCAAAGGCCUUACUUCAACCACUUGCGAAUUUGUAAUUUAUUUUCUUACCAACUGACUGUUAACGAAGACUGAUUCAAAAACUUGUUGGUGUUUAAUGACACUGAUACAAUCAUUGAAACAACUUUUGGCAACGGAUCUCUUGGCUCUC
rnacentral:misc_RNA from 1 species